UUUCCUGUGGCUCAGUUGGUAGAGCAUUCCGUUAACACUGCAAACGCUGUGGGUUCAAAUCCCAGGGAAAG